rnacentral:misc_RNA from 1 species
GUCGAGCUGCCCCCGCGAAAUGCCGAGCAUUUUGCUGCCCGCCGCCAUCCCACACUUGGCGUACAGGUCGUGCAGCGCGCCCACCACGUGC